rnacentral:ncRNA from 1 species
GCUAGCCUGGAAGGACCCCGACGAGACGCGCCGUACCGGGUACACGACAAGACGACGCACC